UGAACAAAAACCUCAACUCAGUACCCACCUGCAGUGCUGCUUCUGCCAUUACAGGCUGUGCUUUGAUGAGAAGUUACUGAAGGGUGAACAAGAGACUGACGACUAAAAGAGAAAUUGCUGAGUUUAUGUUCUCAAUACCAUAAACUGGCAGUACUGGACACCAGUGGCUCAUGUGAUUUCAAACUCCAUUUGGUCAGGUCUCUGAGUAAAUUAAGGAGGCUGCCUCAGAGUUUGCUGGGGAGGGAUGCACUCUAAAUUCCUGACACCGAAUUUAACCUGCUGGCCAUCAGAUACCUUAUUCCUCGUUGCCCUGCUCAAGUCUACAUUUGACACAUUUACUCAAGGGAGCGGUAGAGAAAAAUAGAACAGAAAACAUUCAACAAAGUAUAGUCAUACAUGCCUGAAAGGUUUGGGGUGGCAGCUGGUCUAGGUCAUAUUCUACCUUUGAAACCCACAAAUUGAGACUUUGAAAGUAAGGCACGGAUGCGACUCCACAUGGAACCAAAUGCACAGGUUUACACUACUUGUGGUUGUGAGGGUCUGAGCCUAACCCCUGGUUGUGAACGCUGUGCUCAUACAUUUUCAUUCCUACUUAAAGCAGUAGAUGGGCUGUUAUUUCUUUUACAUUUAAGAGCGGCUGUUUUAAAGGUCAACAAUGGAAAAGGCGUGGAAGGGAAACAUGGAAGAACACAGUCAGGAAUUCCAAUCAAUGAGCAUAGAAAGCAUGGAUGGAGCUCCACUACAACUAAAUAAGUACAACAUUGAAGCAGAGACUAAAGAGA